AUUGAACGCUGGCGGCAGGCCUAACACAUGCAAGUCGAACGAGUGGCGGACGGGUGAGUAAUGUCUGGGAAACUGCCCGAUGGAGGGGGAUAACUCCUGGAAACGGUAGCUAAUACCGCAUACCAUCAGAUGUGCCCAGAUGGGAUUAGCUAGUAGGUGGGGUAAUGGCUCACCUAGGCGACGAUCCCUAGCUGGUCUGAGAGGAUGACCAGCCACACUGGAACUGAGACACGGUCCAGACUCCUACGGGAUACAGCAGUGGGGAAUAUUGCACAAUGGGCGCAAGCCUGAUGCAGCCAUGACGCGUGUAUGAAGAAGGCCUUCGGGUUUUAAAGUACUUUCAGCGGGGAGGCGUUACCCGCAGAAGAAGCACCGGCUAACUCCGUGCCAGCAGCCGCGGUAAUUC
rnacentral:rRNA from 1 species